CUUGAACAGUUGAAACUGGCUAAGCAUCCAGGAUGUGUCCAAGAAGUGGGUCUGACAGUAUCUUCACAUGUCUCUUUGUGAAAUCUACCAGAUAUCAUGAUGAAAACUUCAUACUGCAAAGGAUCAUCAUCAUUCUUCUGUGUGAAGAAGUACAGAAUGUAGUCUUUGUUUCACUCCAUCAGGUGGAAUCAAAAUCAAAUGAAUGCUUUCCAACAUCGCCAUCCUGUGGCAGAGCAUUAGACCUGACACCAGACAUAUUUGUUCCCCAUCACUUUGAUACUUGCUGGAGCGACCCAGGAAGACAGCUGUAUGCCUUUGGCGCAAAACAAUACUUAAUGCUGCAAAUACCUAAACUAGUUCCCCAUUCACUUUUGGAGUUUCCAAUAUUUGAUGAUCCCCAUGUAGCAAAAUUGUUGCGGCCCAGAUCUGGCCUACGACAAAUACAAUGGACCCACAUACAGCACAUGGGAAUAUGGUUCUUGUGAAGGUAUUAGGUGUGGGCCAGACAAUUAUUUCCUUCUCUGUGUUGAAUUAUGUUUCUGACUGUUGUAUGUCAGCAUCUCUUCCGACUGAUCAUUCUAUUAUUAAGUUGACUUGUAAUCCCCCUGG